UCGAGGAUCUUUAGCAAUGGGCGAAAGCCUGACUAUGCGACGCCGCGUGAGGGAUGAAGUAUUUCGGUACGUAAACCUCUUUCAAUGGGGAAGAAAUCUCCGUCAUAAAUAGUGGCGGAGGCUGACGGUACCCAGAGAAGAAGCCACGGCCAACUCCGUGCCAGCAGCCGCGGUAAUACGGGGGUGGCGAGCGUUACUCGGAUUUAUUGGGUGUAAAGGGCAGGUAGGCGUCUUGCCAAGUUUUGGGUGAAAUCCUUUGGCUUAACCAAAGAACUGCCUAAAAAACUGGCAAGAUUGAGGCUGGAAGAGGAGAGCGGAAUUCCCGGUGUAAGGGUGAAAUCUGUAGAUAUCGGGAGGAACGCCAGUGGCGAAAGCGACUCUCUGGUCUAGCCCUGACGCU
rnacentral:rRNA from 1 species